rnacentral:rRNA from 1 species
GAUGAACGCUGGCGGCGUGCCUAAUACAUGCAAGUCGAACGGAGACAUUGUAGCAAUACGAUGUUCUUAGUGGCGAACGGGUGAGUAACGCGUUGGUGACCUGCCCCGAAGAGGGGGAUAACAGUCCGAAAGGACUGCUAAUACCCCAUGUGGUCUUUAGGAUUAGAUGCCUUCUGACCAAAGGAGUGAUCCGCUUCGGGAGGGGCCUGCGUCCCAUCAGCUAGUUGGUAGGGUAAUGGCCUACCAAGGCAACGACGGGUAGGGGGCCUGAGAGGGUGGCCCCCCACAAUGGCACUGAAAUACGGGCCAUACACCUACGGGUGGCAG